rfam:Triticum urartu cultivar G1812 contig460331, whole genome shotgun sequence.
UAUGUACUCCCUCCGUCCGAAAAUACUUGUCAUCAAAAUUGUUGAAAAGGGGUGUAUCUAGAACUAAAAUACAUCUAGAUACAUUAUCUUUUUUUUAUGACAAGUAUUUUCGGACAGAGGGAGUAUUUC